UCUGAUGGUCACAAACGAGUCGUAGAUUUGCGCACACAAAGCGGUAUACUCACUCGACCGCUCGUAAAACUUUGCCUUCUACCGACCGAAAACGCCAACAAUCAAUGAAAAACCAAAAUCGCAACUCCGUCAUACCUAAAACCGCAAAUAAACCGGAAACCACGCAACUCAAUUAACGUACAUAAACAGAUCCUUCAAUAAUGUACACCUGAAUAACCAAAUAAUUGAGCGUUAGCAUGCAUGCUUUCUCCCCCGCAAAACACUAAAGUCGCCUUUCGUUUCAUAGAAAUGGACGUUGACAUGGCUACCCCCUCUUCCAACCCUACGCCGGCAGUCCGGACCAACGCAGCAGUAGCACCGCGGGCAUCAGCGCCACCGAUUGCGGCACCACGGUCUGCCACAUCAUUCGCCGGAGCAGCUCCAGUGCCAUCCCCUCGCCCAGGCGUUCGGCGAGCGGCAACAUCAGCAACCGCAGCGCCACAAGGCGCACCCUCAGCAUCCGCUGCACCCGCAGCAUUCGAACUGCCAUUAACGGAGGAGCUGGAUCAAGGCGUCCUUCUUUGUGGCCUCUGUCACCGGCGCCACGCAUUGAGCGCCUGUUCUAUAUUUCGGCCCCUGCAACCGGCCCAGCAGCAGCAAGUGCCACGGGCGCACGGGCACUGUUUGAACUGCCUCGCGCUGUCCCACAUGACAUGGGAAUGUACCUCACGCAGCCGGUGCCACGUAUGUCAAAGGCGCCAUCACACCGUGUUUCACCAAUUCCCGUCGGGUCCACGGCGCAAACUCGCACGAAGACAGCAACUAGCUCCAGCUCCAGGUAAUCGACGCCGGCAUCAUGGCCAGCAGCAGAAUGUCCAAAUUCGGAGACUACCAACGGCUCACUACAGCCCCCCAUCAUCCCACCGCGGCCGACAGCAGUCCAGUAGUGCGUUUCUGUAACCUUGCGAUACACCCAAUAUCGUAAAAUAUAACGCUUUUUCACUUUUAUCGCAAGCGAGAGUUUCUGUAACUGUGCUGAAAAAAAUAUUGCGAUAAAUGAUGCGAUAAAUAUGUCACUGGCUGUAAGUCAAGUGAAGUUUGGUUUUCGAAGCGAAAAGCUUCCAAUAUGAGCGAGAAAAAAGUACGGACGGGAAAAAUAACAAAACAACAAAAAUCCAAACGGUUUGAGGGAGGAGCUAAAUGCAUGCGGAGGUGCAUGCAAGACCACUGAACAGUGGAAGAAGUGUUGGUCGGACUGGAAGGUUGCAGUGAAGAAGCAACAAAGUGCCUACAACAGAUUCAAAAAUUUGACCGGCAACCGUCCUCCCAGUGAAUGACCGAAACCAUGUGAAGUUUUGGAUGCGGAGGUAUUGGAGUUAUUUCCAGCAGCAGUCUUGAUGGAGAUGGUAAAACAAUUGAAGCCGGAGUCCAUGAGGAGAACGUGGAUGAGGCACUCGAAGACGAGUACUUGGCUGAAUAUCUCAUCGAAGACGAAAUGCCAAGUAAGUCUAAGGCCGCUUCUGCUGAGAAGACGUUCAAUAUCUGCGCAUCCAAAUCGUCAUUUCAUUUAUCGCUGCAAGAAGUCAAAAAAGAACUGUCAGCUCAGAACGAAGUUCAUAUGAGAAAAUUAGAUGAUAUUAUUAAUAUACUCAAGGAAAUGAAUUCAAAUAUUUUAACAUUAAUAAAUAAAAUACAAUAAAGUGGGUAGUUUUCUUAGACUUCAUUAUAUUUAAGAAAUAAAGCAAAGUAUAUUACAAAUAUGCAUAAGCGUCGCUUGCAUC